rnacentral:rRNA from 1 species
GGGGACGUAACAAAGCGACCCAGGAAUGCUUGGGCGUGCCUCCACCCACGCCGGCGUCGGCGGGCGUAUUUCGCCUCACAGUAGGUCGCCGCGACCCGUUGCUUUUGGGGACGUCGAAGGCCCGGACGGAUUGGUACCCUACCGGCUGGGGAUGCGGCUUCGGCUUCUCCUCUUGUCCGGUGGGCGAAACCGCCGGUGUCCUGGCUGCCCUGCGACGGUCGUAGAGACGAGCCCUCCCCUUCGGGGGGGCGGCUCUCGCGGCGUGCAAAAGGUCGGUGAUCCACCCGACCCGUCUUGAAACACGGACCAAGGAGUCUAACAUGUGUGCGAGUCAGUGGGCGCACUAAACCCAGAGGCGUAAUGAAAGUGACACGGGUUCGGCUGUCGCCUCGUGUGGCAGCCGGACUCAGGGCCGAUCCCUCACCGGUUGUCCUCGCCUCUCUCCCGCGUCUCGGUAAGCCGGGUGAGCUAUUUUCCCCGGCCGCUGCUGCGGGGCUCGGGGGGAGGCGGGGUGCGAUGGUGUCUGUAAAAAAGAGCCUGCUGUUGCAGGGGGGCGCAGGCCCGGGACUUGCCAGGACGCCGCGAGACUGUCACUUUGCUGUGAGGCUCUCGGGCUGAUCAGCGGGUCAUGCGUGCAGUCGGCAAGUACCAUGAGCAGACAUGUUGGGACCCGAAAGAUGGUGAACUAUGCCUGGCCAGGAUGAAGCCAGAGGAAACUCUGGUGGAGGUCCGUAGCGAUUCUGACGUGCAAAUCGAUCGUCGGAGCUGGGUAUAGGGGCGA